GACGAACGCUGGCGGCGUGCUUAACACAUGCAAGUCGAACGCUGAAGCCCAGCUUGCUGGGUGGAUGAGUGGCGAACGGGUGAGUAACACGUGAGUAACCUGCCCCCUUCUUUGGGAUAACGCCCGGAAACGGGUGCUAAUACUGGAUAUUCACUGGCCUUCGCAUGGGGGUUGGUGGAAAGGUUUUUUCUGGUGGGGGAUGGGCUCGCGGCCUAUCAGCUUGUUGGUGGGGUGAUGGCCUACCAAGGCUUUGACGGGUAGCCGGCCUGAGAGGGUGACCGGUCACAUUGGGACUGAGAUACGGCCCAGACUCCUACGGGAGGCAGCAGUGGGGAAUAUUGCACAAUGGGCGAAAGCCUGAUGCAGCGACGCCGCGUGAGGGAUGACGGCCUUCGGGUUGUAAACCUCUUUCGCUCAUGGUCAAGCCGCAACAAUGGUUGUGGUGAGGGUAGUGGGUAAAGAAGCGCCGGCUAACUACGUGCCAGCAGCCGCGGUAAUACGUAGGGCGCGAGCGUUGUCCGGAAUUAUUGGGCGUAAAGGGCUUGUAGGCGGUUGGUCGCGUCUGCCGUGAAAUCCUCUGGCUUAACUGGGGGCGUGCGGUGGGUACGGGCUGACUUGAGUGCGGUAGGGGAGACUGGAACUCCUGGUGUAGCGGUGGAAUGCGCAGAUAUCAGGAAGAACACCGGUGGCGAAGGCGGGUCUCUGGGCCGUUACUGACGCUGAGGAGCGAAAGCGUGGGGAGCGAACAGG
rnacentral:rRNA from 1 species